GCAAAGUGGUGUCAUGAAUAGGGACUUCGAGGAAGUGAACGAGGAAGAUCUGCUGGAGCACAGGAAGUGAAAUAGACAAGAUGAAUGGGGACCCCAGGACAAAUAUGCUGGCAGUGGAUAUAAGCAGAUGGAUAAACCAUGUGGGUGCCCUCAAGGUGCGUGCAACCAUGGAAUGGAAGACUGGAGGAACCCAUGGUGGCCAACCAUGGGCCCGGUCCCUCUGGUAUGGGCCAUGAGCCAGCUGAGCCUGAGUGCAAAAAUGGACAGAAGGCCAACUGGAGUCAUGGUGACAUCAACCCCUAUAACCUGGGGGACACUCAAGAAAACCAUGCAGGAAGCUGAGAAACUACUGGAGCGUCAAGGCCAGAAAAAACCCCUGAUUCCAUGUUCUUGGCCAUGUUAGCUAUAAUGCCCUGUGUGGUAGGUUUUCCCUUGCAGAGUCAAAAACAUAUUGGGCAUAGGUUCCCAAUCCUCCAGCAGUACAACCUGUACUUUGGAGUGACACUCCUCCUGAGAUCUAUCGUGAUCAGGGAGCAUGGGCUCCAGGACCCCUAUGUCUGGCUCCCCCGGACAUAGAACAGUUAGACUCUCAGAACAAUGUCGUCAAUUAUACUACCCCACUGGAAGGACUCCCCUUGUGUAUCACUACAAAGAUGUCGCUCAACCAUAGCUGUCUUACAACUGAAGCUCAAGCAUGGUUGAGUCACCUUGGAAAAGUUAUGUACUUAAUAGUUCUUGGUUCUAUUUAUGUAACUGGUGUGCUAACCAACCAUGCCCGGCCCAAUUGCCCCAACUGUGCUGACUAUAUGGAAUGGAUUCCCUUCAAUAGUUCUGACCUCUCUCCAUUGACCCAGUGUCUUGGCCCACUGGGUAGAAAAGAAUCUGUGUUAACUGGAGACAUUGUGGAUUGGGGAACUAAAGGUCAACUAGAUGGAAAAGAGGAAAAUCAGAAAUCAUGACACAAACUUCACUGCCAUUGGUGGCAAGCUUUGAAUACUCCUUCUUUAUACCACACCGGGAUCCAAUCCCAGUCUGCCACCUGGAUUGCUUGGCAUGGAGCAGGCUUUAGCACACCUCUUCCUCAGUGGCAUUAUCUAGGGAGGAAAGGUCCAAUUCAAGAAACAAUAUGGAAAGCAGCACUGCUGUUCACAAACGGUAGUAUCCGGGUAGGAACACUCUCUAAUACCAGUACUGCUACUCAACACAGUCUUAAUGUCACAUUUGUAAAGAAUAUCACCACUCAACUUAUGGUUUGUGGUUUUAAUCCUUAUGUCUUUUUGGCAGCUAAGGCGGACCAGCUCCAGGUAAGCAAUACUCAAUUGACCUUAAAUCUUGCUGGUUAUAUCACUGCAUUAAUCAUAGCACAUUGCAAACAUGUAAUAUCUCUACUUUGAUAUUUGGGUCACAUUCCUGGGCUAUGGAUUCUCAUUAAUCUGUCUGAGCCUUGUGAUGCCACCCCUGUUUGGCACUUUGUGAAACUUCUUCUAACUAAACUUACUCAUCAUGCCUGUAGAGCCUCAGGCAUCAUAAUUUUUGCUAUUGUUUCUUUGGUCACACUAAUCACUUCUGCUGUAAUGUCCUCUGUAGCUUUGCAUAGUUCUGUUCAAAUGGCUCAGUAUGUAGAGGACUGGAGGCAUGCAGCCAACUAAGCAUGGCUACUUCAGAGUAAAAUUAACACUGAGUUACAAACUGAAGUGGUAAUAUUAAAAUCCAUGGUUCUGUGGUUAGGGGAACAAGUACAAAGCUUACAGUUGCAACAGAAAUUGCACUGUCAUUCACACUCAUAUUUGUGUAACCAACUUAGAAUAUAACCAAAGAGUAUCCAUGGGACCUUGUAAAAGCCCAUUUGCAGGGAGCUUUCACAUCCAACAUCACCUUUGACAUUGGUGAAUUACAAAAAAAAGUUCUUGAUUUAAAUAAGCAAACUCAAGAGUUUCAGCCUUCUUUAGAAGCCUGGACUGAAUUCCAGCAAGGCCUGGAGAGCCUCAAUCCUUGGAACUAUCUAAAGUACCACAUUAACAUCUCAUAUAUAGUUCUGGGAAUAAUGUUGUUCUGUCUCUGUUUCCUGCUCAUAGCCUGUAAAAUCAGAUGGAUUGCCAAUCAGAAAAUAAAGCUGCCCAACCUGGCCUUACAUUCAUUCAAUUAAUGCAAAAACAGAAAGGGAGAGAUGUUGGGAUCCAGAAGCCUGAGGAUUGUGACCAACACAGCAUUCCACUGGAAGCUAUAUGAUCAAAGAGCAAACUGUUUAUCAUGAAUGCAGAAUGUGGGCAAACUCACAUCUGCACCUGACACUGGAAGGUAUGCUAAGGGGAGCCACUCCCUGGUGCUGUGCUCCUUGAGAUUAUCUACUGGGACAUCUGGAGCCUACUGUUUAAAGAAUGCUGUCAUGCAGGCCUACACUAAGUCAAGCAGCUGACUGACAAUCAGCCCCUUCUCCCUAUCUCCUUUACUCAAUAAAUAUAAAGGGCUCUAGAACUCAGGGCCCUUGUUCACUAGAAGCAAGGAGCCCCCUGACCCCUUCUUCCAAAUAAACUUUUUUGUCUUUGUCUUUA
rnacentral:lncRNA from 1 species